rnacentral:lncRNA from 1 species
GUUCCCAGGCUAGGGAUCGAAUUGGAGCUACAGCUGCCAGCCUACACCACAGCCAUAGCAAAGCCAGAUCUGAGCCACAUCUGUGAACUACACCACAGCUCACAGCAAUGCUGGAUUCUUAACCCAUUGAGAGAGGCCAGGGAUCAAACCUUCGUCCUCAUGGAUACUAGUUUGGUUCAUUACCACUGAGCCACAACAGGAACUCCCAUGAUAUAUUGUUGAAUGAAAGAAGGGUAUUACAAAAUCAUGUUUAAAAUUUUAUAUUUAUAGCAGCUUUAUUCAAAGCUGCCCCAAACUGGAAACAACCAAGACGCCAUGCAGUAUGGAUCAAUAAACUGGGGGGUAUCCAGAUAAUGGAAUAUCACUCAGCACCAAAAAGCAAUAAGCUAUUGAGUCAUGAAAUGACACAGAAAACACUUACAUGCAUAUUUCUAGGUGACAGAAGCAACCUGAAAAGGUUACGUACUGUUUGAUUCCAACUGUAGGCCAUUUUGGAAAAGGAAAAACUAUGAAAACAGUAAAAAGAUAAACAAUUGCCAGGGGAAAGGGUGGGGAUGAUGAAGUAAAGCCCAGAGGUCUUUAGGGCAGUGCAAAUACUCUCAAUGACACCGUAAUGAUGGAUACAGGCCACCACACACUGGUCCAAACUCACAGAAUGUCUUAAACCCAGAGUGGAUGUAAUGUCAGCAAACCAGGGACUUUGGGGGAUAACAAUGUGUCGAUAUAAAUUCAUCACUUGUGGAGUUCCCGUCGUGGCUCAGUGGUUAACGAAUCCAACUAGGAACCAUGAGGUGGCGGGUUCGAUCCCUGGCCUUGCUGAGUGGGUUAAGGAUCCAGCGUUGCCAUAAGCUGUGGUGUAGGUUGCAGACGCGGCUCGGAUCCCGCGUUGCUGUGGCUCUGGCGUAGGCCGGCAGCUAUGGCUCCAAUUAGACCCCUAGCCUGGGAACCUCCAUAAGCCACGGAAGCGGCCCUAGAAAAGGCAAAAAGACCAAAAAAAAAAAAAAAAAAUUCAUCACUUGUAACAAAUGGUGUGUGGGAAAUCUGUAUCUUCCCUUCAAUUUUGCCAUGAACCAUAAAUUGCUCUGAAAAAAAAAAAAAAGUAUUUUAAAAAAACCCUACAUAGUAGAAGUAAACUGACAGUAGUUAGGUCUGAAAAUGGAAUUACUGGCUUUCUUUUCUUCUUUGUAACUUCCAUAAUAACAAUCACAUAUUUCUUCCUUAAAAACUUAGGUCAAGAUAAACACAAAGUCAAGGCAUUAGAUGACCUGAGGACCUGAGGGCCAGAGCAGCCCCAGCCCUCCGCGAAAGGCAGGGUCACAUGAACAAAUUGGAGAGUGAGCCCAGCUGGCACCACAGCCAGGGAGCCAAUGACCCUGGGGCUGACCACAUGGGCCCUCAGCAAAAUGACCCAACCAGGGCCCCUCUCUGCUGCGGGCUCGGCCCACUGCCCCACUGCUCAGAAGCCCUGCUGCUGCAAGGUCCUGGCACUGGAUCACGGGAGGAAUCCAGUCACUCUGGCCAGCACUAAAAACAGAGUUCAGGGCCUGACACUCUCCGGAUCAAGAUCUAAGGUCUUAUUCCAGCUGAAAGAGGCCUUCACUGUCUGGCUCCUGCUGACUUCUUGGACUCCGUUUUCCACGGCUCUCCACCCCAGAACUUCACUCCAGAAAGGCCAUUUUCUCCCAACUUUCCCGUCAACUUCGUGCACUUUCCUCCCCCUACAGAUUUUCCAAAUUUUUUUCCAACUGCUCUGCUCCAAAAAUAUCCUUUCUUUAAAAAAAAAAAAAAUUGUUUUAAUAUUUUGGCCAAGCCUGUGGCAUCAGAAGUUCCCAG